rnacentral:tRNA from 1 species
AUUAAAAUGGCAGAGUUAAGUGCAUCAAAUUUAAAAUUUGAAUAUGAAUCUUUAUAAUUCUUUUAAUA